GACACUCGCCAGGGCACUGAUGAAACCAACCGCCAGCGAGCAGCACGGGAGACCCGCAGGGAGGGCGCGGCCCUGGCUCUGCCACCUCCCUGCUCCUGGACCACACUGGUGGGCGCAGGCAGACGAUACUGAUGCUCGACCACGGCCGCAUCUCGUCUGGGGGUGCCCUCUGCUAUCCUUAUCCUACAGGCGUUCAACCCCAAAAAAACUUUGCAGUGAACUUUGCCUCUUCCUGUUUCUCCUGAGGGUGCUCCUCUACGCCGAGUUUAGGAGAAGAGAGUGAGAGGAGCAACAAUGAAAGGCAAAGGGAACAAAUCCAUCCGCGGGCAGCCCCUUGGCGCCUUCUCCACUGCACCCUGAGCCCUACAGCUGAGAAGCCGAGUCCUGAGACUGUGCCAGCACCGCACGCAGAGCCUGGUGUGCGGUCAGAGCACAGCGUGAGCGGAAUGAAUCCUGAAUAAAUAAUUAUCAUCCUACACAUCUUCUAAGCCAGAAAUAGAGAAAUGUUACAGCCCUCAAUGGUGGGAACUGCAAAACCUCAGCCCUGCAAAGCAUGCCCCAUGUAGGGGCAGCGCCACUGCUGCUUGUGCGGCUCAGCUGACUAAGCGGAAAGCCAGAGGGGGCACCUCCGGAGAGUCGCCGAGCACUGCUGCUCCGGUGACCAAACGUCCGGCCUUCUAAGAGGUAUGUGUCAACCUCAAUCCUAAGCAAGCAGCAAGGAAGAUGUGGAUACGUACCGUCCCUUUAAGUUAAAUUACCUAGAGAAAACCUAUCCUAAAAGAAAAGGCAAUGAAAGUAACCACAAAAGUGAUGAGACAGAAAAGCCACGGCUCACAUGACUCCCUGGAAGGGUUGCUGCUGGCCUUACCUACAAGGCGAACGUGGAAAAUCCGAGAAGUCCUCAAUGAGAGUGAGGUGGUUUGAGAAAAUGCCCACAAAUUGCUGGAUACAUCUCUCUUAAAAAGGCAGAGCACAGGCCGGGCAUGGUGGCUCACGCCUGUAAUCCCGGCAGUUUGGGAGGCUGGGGCAGGUAGAUCACUUGAGGUCACGAGUUCGAGACCAGCCUGGCCAACACUGAGAAACCCUGCCUCUACUAAAAAUAAUUACAUUAAAAAAAGUUAGCCGGGUGUGGUGGUGGGCACCUGUAAUCCCAGCUACUCAGGAGAAUCGCCUAAACCCAGGAGGCAGAAGUUGCAAGGUUGAGCCAAGAUCAUGCCACUGCACUCCAGCCUGGGUGACAGCGUGAGACUCUGUCUCAAAAAAAAAAAAAAAAAAAGAAGAAAAAGAAAAGAAAAGAAAAAGGUGAAGCACAAUUACCCUCCCUUAAGAGAGGACUGACUUGGUAAUGCACAUGGAAAGAGCACAGUGUGGCAGAAGGGACAGGGUGUAACACCCAAGACUGGGACAUGCAGGCCCCGUGACCCCUCCUUGCUCUCUCUCUUUCUCUCUCUCUCUCCAAUCGCCUGCUCAGGAAAAGUGAAUGGCAAUCCCACAGACACGCACACAGCCCUGUGGGGAGGCCACAAGGUGCUGGGCUGAGGCCUCCUGCCCUUGCCCUGUAAGAGCACCCUGGAAGUGGGCUGUCCAGCUGGUGUGCAGCCUCAAAAGAGACCCCAAGCCAGACCCACCCAUGAAAGGUACCCCUGAAUUCUGGACUCAUAAAAUCUCUUAGAUAAUACAUAUUUGUUGUUUUAACCCACUCAGUUUUGCAUUGGUUACACAGCAAUAGAAAAUAAAGAAAAGAGGCAGAUGAAAUCGAUGGAGAAACAAUUGCAAAGAAAACAGAAUACACAAUGCACGAGCCUGUGUCAGGAAUGACAAUGCAUUCCACGGAACAGUCGCACAGAGAGAGACCAGUUACAAGAUGCUAUCAGGACAACGGGAGCUGUGCUGGGGCAGCUGGGCCUUCCGACAUCCUCCCUGGUUGCGGUGGCAGUGGUGGUGUCUGCUCCAGGUCAAGCCUGGCAGAGAGAAGGGAGGGCCAGCGCCUCAGGCAGUCACUGCACCCUCAAGGCCCAGGACACUCACGUCCACAGGACAAGCAUCCCGCGGCUCACCUACUGUCCUCACCAGAGACCAACUACACCCACAGAAAGGCCAAGAGGCAUUCUGGAAACACAAACCUCACUGACUAACAAAGAAACAGUAUUUGAGGAAAGCCAAUGUGAUGAAAGAGAGACGCCGGACUAAAAGGAGGGACAGUCAUCUGAGAACAUACAAAGCAAGUGGCAAGCGCUAGUUUACACGUCCAAGGUGACCGUCACAUGCUCUGUCCAGGCAAGAGAGGCAAGUGGACACCCUGAGAAGGAAAAAUGUUGUCAAAAUAAAAACCUAAUAUGUGAACCUAGGAGUUAAAUGGACACAGCCUGCGAGCAAAGAGACAGUGAGAAGAUGAAGCCAAGGCACUCUCCAGAAUGCAGGUGACGGGAAAAAGAGACGGUAACAAAGAUCCAAAGAGGUCCAGAAGGAAUGACCAUGGAGCGGAAAGAAAGAAAACAGCAUUCAAAAAGGCAACAGAAUAAAAUUUCCCGGGCUGAAGAAAUAAGUCUUCAGAGUGAAAGGACCCAAGGAACAAUGUCCUGCUUAAGUUCAGAAAAUCCAAGGCUGAGGAAAGAGCCCUGAAAGGCUCAACGUGGCAACACUGUGUGCUAAAAGACAGCGGAGUUCUGAGGGGCAGCUCUUUCCAUGGAACUUUUUUUUUUUGAGAUGGAGUCUCGCUCUCUGGAGUGCAAUGGCGCAAUCUCGGCUCACGGAAACCUCCGCCUCCCAGGUUCAAGCGAUUCUCCUGCCUCAGCCUCCCGAGUAACUGGGAUUACAGGCACCCACCACCACGCCAGGCUAAUUUUUAUAUUUUUAGUAGAGAUGAGGUUUCACCAUGUUGGCCAGGCUGGUCUCCAACUCCUGACCUCAAGUGAUCCGCCCCACCUCGGCCUCCCAAAGUGCUGGGAUUACAGGCAUGAGCCACCGCGCCCGGCCUCAAUGGAACUUUUAAAUCAUCUAGCCCAUCAAUAUUUUAGACAUUUCCAAUAUAUCUGGAUUUAUUUACUAUUUUAUGUUGUGUUUUCUACUUUUCUCAUCUUUCUGUGUUCAAGUAUCCUCUCUUGCCUUCUUUUGGAUUUUUCUCCCCAUUAUACAUUUUUUUCUUUUUACUCUAAACUUAAUUACAUAACUUAUCAAAGCCUAAUGUCCCCACACUCCACCCACGCAAUCCCAGGACCUUAAAACUCUUUAAUUCCAUUCCCUUCCCGCUGACAUGACCUUGGAGUCAAUUAUUUUAGUUCUACCAUUUGUGGUUUAGCCCAGGAGACAUCUGCCUCAAGCCUGUUCAAUUCACUCACAUGCAUACAGCUUUGUUUAUAAUGCCUUCUUAGAGCUCGGACUUUCCACAGAAGACAACCUUCUCUCCUCUUGAAAUAGGUCCUUUAGAAAUGCUUUUAGUAGCCAGGCAUAGUGGUGCAUGCCUGUAGUCCAGGUGCUCAGGAGAGUGGACUGAGCCCAGGAGUUCGAGGCUGUGGUGCACUGUGAUCACGACUGUGAGUAGCCACUGCACUCCAGCCUGGGCAACGUGGUGAGACCCUGUCUCUAGAAAAACAGAAAUGCUUUUAAUAAAGUCCUAUAGGUAUCAAAUUAUCUCCACUUGUGUUUGUAUAAAAAUGUAUUUAUUUUUCUAUCAUUCCUGAAAGAUAUAUUAGGUAUAUCAGUUAGUGCAAAAGUAAUUGUGGGUUAAUGGCAAAAACUGCAAUUACUUUUGCACCAACCUAAUAGAAUGUCAGUUCUUUUCUCUCAGCAUGUUAGAUAUUAUCCAGCUAUCUUCUCCUUUCCACUGGUGCCAGUAAGAAGCCAUGUCAGCCUUAAUGUUGCUUCUUUGAAGGCAAUGUCUUUUCUCUCUGUUAAGAUCUUGUACUUGUCUUUGGUGCUCCAGAGUUCCACCAUGAUAUGUCUAAAUAUAGACUUCAUUUCACCA
rnacentral:antisense_RNA from 1 species